rnacentral:rRNA from 1 species
CCUACGGGAGGCAGCAGUGAGGAAUAUUGGUCAAUGGACGAGAGUCUGAACCAGCCAAGUAGCGUGAAGGAUGACUGCCCUAUGGGUUGUAAACUUCUUUUAUAAAGGAAUAAAACGAGGCACGUGUGCCUCUUUGCAUGUACUUUAUGAAUAAGGAUCGGCUAACUCCGUGCCAGCAGCCGCGGUAAUACGGAGGAUCCGAGCUUUAUCCGGAUUUAUUGGGUUUAAAGGGAGCGUAGAUGGGUUGUUAAGUCAGUUGUGAAAGUUUGCGGCUCAACCGUAAAAUUGCAAUUGAUACUGGCAGUCUUGAGUACAGUUGAGGUAGGCGGAAUGCGUGGUGUAGCGGUGAAAUGCUUAGAUAUCACGAAGAACCCCGAUUGCGAAGGCAGCUUACUAAACUGUGACUGACAUUGAUGCUCGAAAGUGUGGGUAUCAAACAGGAUUAGAUACCCGAGUAGUC